rnacentral:rRNA from 1 species
GAUGAACGCUGGCGGCGUGCUUAACACAUGCAAGUCGAACGGGAAUUAUUUUAUUGAAACUUCGGUCGAUUUAAUUUAAUUCUAGUGGCGGACGGGUGAGUAACGCGUGGGUAACCUGCCUUAUACAGGGGGAUAACAGUCAGAAAUGGCUGCUAAUACCGCAUAAGCGCACAGAGCUGCAUGGCUCAGUGUGAAAAACUCCGGUGGUAUAAGAUGGACCCGCGUUGGAUUAGCUGGUUGGUGGGGUAACGGCCCACCAAGGCGACGAUCCAUAGCCGGCCUGAGAGGGUGAACGGCCCCAUUGGGACUGAGACACGGCCCAGACUCCUACGGGAGGCAGCAGUGGGGAAUAUUGCACAAUGGGGGAAACCCUGAUGCAGCGACGCCGCGUGAAGGAAGAAGUAUCUCGGUAUGUAAACUUCUAUCAGCAGGGAAGAUAGUGACGGUACCUGACUAAGAAGCCCCGGCUAACUACGUG